UUUUACGGAUCUAGCGGCGCAGCGGAGGCAAGGAGGAGAGCGAUGGCUGCGGCGGUCGAUGGAGCAGUUCAACAGCGGCGGCGCGCCCCGCCUACGGCCAAGGGUGGCGGCGUCCAGGCGACGGGCGGCCGACUUAAUCACCACCCUCUCCCGCCGUUGCUCGAGGUGUGUUGCCCGGGGUUGUCGUCGGGUCGUGGCCGGAUCGGCAUGUGGCUCCUCGUGCAGAGGAAGCUGCGCAGCGGCGUCUCGGCGACAAGGAGGAGCGCCGGCGGCGGAGGAGGGGAUGAGGAGGAGCGCCGGCGAGGCGGAUCCGACCGGCCCCGCUGCCCACCCCUGGAGCGCCUCACCGCUUCUUCCUCUGUGAGGAGAAAUCGUUCACAGGCUAUCCCCUCUCGCCGGUGCCGGAGAGUGAGGGCAACCUAGGGUGGCGACAGCCCGGAUCCAAAUCCAGAAUUUCCCCGCCUGGAUUCGUGGGAAGAGGAUGGCAGCACCCGACGGCGGCGGCGUCCUGACUCAUCGGAGGUACGUGCAACUCUGCUAGCUCCUGGUUCUGGCACAACCCCUGAUGGCCGGCGAGGUGAGGAGUGAGGUGGCGUCAACGACUGCGGUGAAAUCCGUAGAGCGGAGAUCGAUCGCCCGUCCGCUCGUCUCAUCUGUCGUCGGCUGCCCUACCGCGUCGUUGGUCGCUCCCUCACUACUCUCGCUCUGGCGCUUUCUCCGUUGCCCGGUCGCCAACCCCCGUUUCACCGCUGUUGGCUGCCCGGACUGCUUGUGCCGGCGUGCUGCACUGCUGCAUCUCUGCACCACUGCACAAAGCCAUCAACACACCAGCAAUCCACCAUCCCAGCAAGCACAAGAUGCACAACACAGCUGCACGCCCCAUCUGAUGGCUAUGAGAAUGCCUCUCCAGACGGCCGUGGUGACAGAUAUCUGUCGACAGGGAGGACUUGAGAAUAUGCAGCACUUCGUCGGCUCAACGUCGAUUUGUUUUAUUGGCGUUGUCUUGCUUGUUGGAUUCGUGCAUGCAUAGAUGGAUCAUUGACCUUGAUCUACAUUGUCGUAUUAGUCUUGGCAUCAAUCUUCAUCACCGUAUCCUUCAGUGGUGUUGCUGUUGUGAUUUUUUUACUGGAGCUGUUGUGAUCUUUAAUUAGUUCUGUUUAUUCUACCAAUGUACCACAUUGCAUGUGUGAUCACAUCGUUGAUGUAAUACCGAAAUUAAUUUACUCGAUCAAAAUUUUUUUAAUCUAA